rnacentral:lncRNA from 1 species
GAACACACAAAGCAGAGUGACAUGCAUGUUAUCCAAGGCAAAUUGAUUGGUACUUCUUAGAGUGGGACAAAAAUAACAGUACAUGUUCAUAUCCGGAUUUGAUUACGAAAUAAUUGUAACACACUUUGCCGCGUUUUGAAAUUGAUUAGAGCCAAGAGAGGAUGACAAGAGAAACGGAUUAGAAUUAGACCACAUCAAGGUUCGAUCUCCUCCAUUAUGACUAAGAAAACCCUUUGAUACGACAAGUAAUCUAUCGAUGCCAUGACAGGGAGCCUUUGAGUUUGAGUGAUGAAGAUAUUUUGGAGUGUUUCUAUUGAUUUUAUUUAAUGUCUUUUUUCUUAGCUUCGGUGUUGAUAUGAUUUUAUUAAUUAAUUGCAUCUCUUUUGAAAAGUAUAUACUUAAAACUCCAUCUAAAACAAAUUAGACAUGACUAAAUUAGGAAUAUUUAGCUCUAGACAUGAAACUAUUGAAUACUUAAGUGUUUUAUAUACUAUUAUAUUUUCUAUUCUAGC